UACGGAGGGUGCGAGCGUUGUCCGGAAUCACUGGGCGUAAAGGGCGCGUAGGUGGCUCGGUAAGUAGGGGGUGAAAUCUUGCGGCUCAACCGCAAGGCUGCCUUCUAAACUGCCAGGCUUGAGCACAGUAGAGGCAGGUGGAAUUCCCGGUGUAGCGGUGGAAUGCGUAGAGAUCGGGAAGAACACCGGUGGCGAAGGCGGCCUGCUGGGCAGUGGCUGACGCUGAGGCGCGACAGCGUGGGGAGCAAACAGG
rnacentral:rRNA from 1 species